UGGGGAAUAUUGCACAAUGGGCGAAAGCCUGAUGCAGCAACGCCGCGUGAGCGAAGAAGGCCUUUGGGUCGUAAAGCUCUGUCGGAAGGGAAGAAACAAAUGACGGUACCUUCUGAGGAAGCCCCGGCUAACUACGUGCCAGCAGCCGCGGUAAUACGUAGGGGGCGAGCGUUAUCCGGAAUUAUUGGGCGUAAAGAGUGCGUAGGUGGUCUUGUAAGCGUGGGGUGAAAGGCAGUGGCUUAACCAUUGUAAGCCCUGCGAACUGUGAGACUUGAGUGCAGGAGAGGAAAGCGGAAUUCCUAGUGUAGCGGUGAAAUGCGUAGAUAUUAGGAGGAACACCAGUGGCGAAGGCGGCUUUCUGGACUGUAACUGACACUGAGGCACGAAAGCGUGGGGAGCAAACAGG
rnacentral:rRNA from 2 species